UACGUAAGGUGCGAGCGUUGUCCGGAUUUAUUGGGCGUAAAGAGCUCGUAGGCGGUUUGUCGCGUCGGCCGUGAAAUCUCCACGCUUAACGUGGAGCGUGCGGUCGAUACGGGCAGACUUGAGUUCGGUAGGGGAGACUGGAAUUCCUGGUGUAGCGGUGAAAUGCGCAGAUAUCAGGAGGAACACCGGUGGCGAAGGCGGGUCUCUGGGCCGAUACUGACGCUGAGGAGCGAAAGCGUGGGGAGCGAACAGG
rnacentral:rRNA from 1 species